rnacentral:siRNA from 1 species
UGUCGGAAUUUAGCAUAUCUUUA